GAGUUUGAUCCUGGCUCAGAUUGAACGCUGGCGGCAGGCUUAACACAUGCAGGUCGAACGGUAACAUGAGUGCUUGCACUUGAUGACGAGUGGCGGACGGGUGAGUAAGGUAUGGGGAUCUGCCGAAUGGAGGGGGACAACAGUUGGAAACGACUGCUAAUACCGCAUAAUGUUGAGAAACCAAAGCAUGGGACUUUCGGGCCAUGCGCCAUUUGAUGAACCCAUAUGGGAUUAGCUAGUUGGUAGGGUAAAGGCUUACCAAGGCGACGAUCUCUAGCUGGUCUGAGAGGAUGACCAGCCACACUGGAACUGAGACACGGUCCAGACUCCUACGGGAGGCAGCAGUGGGGAAUAUUGCACAAUGGGGGGAACCCUGAUGCAGCCAUGCCGCGUGUAUGAAGAAGGCCUUCGGGUUGUAAAGUACUUUCGGUAACGAGGAAGGUGGUGUAUCUAAUAGGUGCAUCAAUUGACGUUAAUUACAGAAGAAGCACCGGCUAACUCCGUGCCAGCAGCCGCGGUAAUACGGAGGGUGCGAGCGUUAAUCGGAAUGACUGGGCGUAAAGGGCAUGUAGGCGGAUAAUUAAGUUAGGUGUGAAAGCCCUGGGCUCAACCUAGGAAUUGCACUUAAAACUGGUUAACUAGAGUAUUGUAGAGGAAGGUAGAAUUCCACGUGUAGCGGUGAAAUGCGUAGAGAUGUGGAGGAAUACCGGUGGCGAAGGCGGCCUUCUGGACAGAUACUGACGCUGAGAUGCGAAAGCGUGGGGAGCAAACAGGAUUAGAUACCCUGGUAGUCCACGCUGUAAACGAUGUCGAUUUGGAGUUUGUUGCCUAGAGUGAUGGGCUCCGAAGCUAACGCGAUAGAUCGACCGCCUGGGGAGUACGGCCGCAAGGUUAAAACUCAAAUGAAUUGACGGGGGCCCGCACAAGCGGUGGAGCAUGUGGUUUAAUUCGAUGCAACGCGAAGAACCUUACCUGGUCUUGACAUCCACAGAAUCUUUCAGAGAUGCGAGAGUGCCUUCGGGAACUGUGAGACAGGUGCUGCAUGGCUGUCGUCAGCUCGUGUUGUGAAAUGUUGGGUUAAGUCCCGCAACGAGCGCAACCCUUAUCCUUUGUUGCCAUUGGUUCGGCCGGGAACUCAAAGGAGACUGCCGUUGAUAAAGCGGAGGAAGGUGGGGACGACGUCAAGUCAUCAUGGCCCUUACGACCAGGGCUACACACGUGCUACAAUGGCGUAUACAAAGGGAGGCGA
rnacentral:rRNA from 1 species